rnacentral:tRNA from 1 species
GCUUUUAAAGGAUAAUAGCCUAUCCAUUGGACUUAGGCUCCAAAUACUCUUGGUGCAACUCCAUGUAAAAGCU